rnacentral:rRNA from 1 species
GAUGAACGCUGACAGAAUGCUUAACACAUGCAAGUCAACUUGAACUUCGGUUUGGGUGGCGGACGGGUGAGUAACGCGUAAAGAACUUGCCUCACAGAUAGGGACAACAUUUGGAAACGAAUGCUAAUACCUGAUAUUAUGAUUUUAGGGCAUCCUAGGAUUAUGAAAGCUAUAUGCGCUGUGAGAGAGCUUUGCGUCCCAUUAGCUAGUUGGAGAGGUAACGGCUCACCAAGGCGAUGAUGGGUAGCCGGCCUGAGAGGGUGAUCGGCCACAAGGGGACUGGGACACGGCCCUUACUCCUACGGGAGGCAGCAGUGGGGAUUAUUGGACAAUGGACCAAGAGUCUGAUCCAGCAAUUCUGUGUGCACGAUGAAGUUUUUCGGAAUGUAAAGUGCUUUCAGUUGGGAAGAAAAAAAUGACGGUACCAACAGAAGAAGUGACGGCUAACUACGUG